ACAAAACGUUGAACUUCUUAAUGUAAAACCAACACAUUUAUGGCUGGUACAUUUCAGAAGAAAGGUGGAAUUUCAUGCACUCCAUAUUUUCCCCUACAAUUUUUGGAUAAAACAUGGAAUUCAUAUGUCACAUCUACAUCACUCUUUUCAUUUAAUGUCGGUGAAGGGAGCGACUUCCAUUGUGUUAAAGAAGAGCAAAGUGUAUCAAGAUCUUCAAGACUUACGGGAGAGACAUUGCCAGUUCCAGAGAGAUAGUGCCAAUUCCUUCACAUACCUUAAAUCCGAAGGGAAGGUAUGUUGCAAAGUGACGUACGCUAAGACACGGGAAGCUUUGGUGCUAUGACAGCCACUGAUCUGCACUUGGGAUUGAUGGGUGAUCGGCAAGGAUUUCUGGCCCAGGUGAUAUCUAUAACAAAAUCUUCAGACUAUGCAAAGAAGUGGAGCUGCUUCCUUCCCUAGUCAGCCGUGAAGACCGUUAGAAAAGCCACCGUUCUCCUCUGACAAGGUGAUGAAACACUUUGUGGAGUGCUUGGCCUCCUUUACUGGACAGGAGGACACACGGCUGCCAAAACAGGUACAG